rnacentral:rRNA from 1 species
GACGAACGCUGGCGGCGUGCUUAACACAUGCAAGUCGAACGGGUCUGCCCUGUUUUUUGCGGGGUGGGUCAGUGGCGAACGGGUGAGUAACACGUGAGUAACCUGCCCCUCACUUCUGGAUAACCGCUUGAAAGGGUGGCUAAUACGGGGUGUUCUGGCUGUGCCGCAUGGUGUGGCUGGGAAAGAUUCACUUUUGUGGUGUUUUGGUGGGGGAUGGGCUCGCGGCCUAUCAGCUUGUUGGUGGGGUGAUGGCCUGCCAAGGCUUUGACGGGUAGCCGGCCUGGGAGGGUGGGCGGUCACACUGGGACUGAGAGACGGCCCAGACUCCUGCGGGAGGCAGCAGUGGGGGGUAUUGCACAAUGGGCGGAAGCCUGAUGCAGCGACGUCGCGUGAGGGAUGGAGGCCUUCGGGUUGUGAACCUCUUUCGCCGGUGAAGAAGGUCCUGCUCUUUGUGGUGGGGUUGACGGUAGCCGGGUUAUGAAGCGCCGGCUAACUACGUG